rnacentral:sRNA from 1 species
GCAGAGCCAUGGCCCUCUUCUUUGUUCUCUGCUGGAUCCAAGAGUCGGGGUCUCCCUAUGUUUCCCAGGCUGGCCUCGAACUCCUGACCUCAAGUGAUCCUCCCACCUCAGCCUCCCAGAGUGCUGGGAUUAAAGACGUGAGCCACGGCACCUGGCCUGAAUUUUCCUCAAAUUCAAAAAAUGCUGAUGAAGGUUUGGCUAAAAUCUUUGGCUCUUCCCAACAAAAGAGCUUGAACAAUGCUGCAUUUGCCUCAGGUUCAAAUGAGCGAGAGGAACAUUUGGCUAAAAUAUUUGAUGAAAUUCUACUGCAGGUGUUUCCAAAGUUUCCGUAUGACCCAUCAUUUAACGAAGCAACAGCAGUCAGAUCCAUUACAAAGACAGACAUGAGAAAAGGAACCAGCGUUGCUUGGAAUUCUCCUAAACCAGAAUAUUUCCUUGGCAGUGUGGACAAAAUUCCUGAUAAAGAUCACCUUUCAGAGGAGAAGAAUUUUAAAGAAUCCUGUCUGUUCCACAGGGAUUUAAGAGAGCAGUUAACUACUGUAGAUAAAGAAACACUUCAAGGAGCAGCUAAACCAGAUGCUCACUUUAGGACUAUGCCCUGCGGGCAGCUUCUGCACUUCCUGCAGAAAAACACCAUCAUCGCCACCGUCUCAGGGGUGGCCAUCCUCAUGGCCAUCGUGCUGUUGCUGCUUGGGUUGGCCUCAUACAUCAGGAAGAAACAGCCAUC